UACGGAGGGUGCAAGCGUUAUUCGGAAUUACUGGGCGUAAAGCGCACGUAGGCGGCCUUAUAAGUCAGGGGUGAAAUCCCACGGCUCAACCGUGGAACUGCCUUUGAAACUGCAGGGCUUGAAUCCUGGAGAGGGUGGCGGAAUUCCUGGUGUAGGAGUGAAAUCCGUAGAUAUCAGGAGGAACACCGGUGGCGAAGGCGGCCACCUGGACAGGUAUUGACGCUGAGGUGCGAAAGUGUGGGGAGCAAACAGGAUUAGAUACCCCUGUAGUCC
rnacentral:rRNA from 1 species